CUCAUGCCUCAGUCUACCAACACAUUCACCGUAAGCUACAGUUUUACAUUGUUAGCUGCUAAUGUUGUACAACUUUAGCUAUCGAGCAGGGGACCGGGAGCUUUCCGCCAGCUGAACCAGAGUGGAUACCGGAGAAAACCCCGCUGUGUCGGCUGGGUACGAUGUCGGUAAACAGGCAUUUUGGUCACGCAGAGAAGAAGAAUAGAGAGGCUCUGUCGACUUGUCCCUCAGCUCAGGACAGGUCUGGAGGCUCACCUGGUGUCGGCCAACUCCCGAUACAUCCAGGAGCAACAACAGCAUGUUGGGCGACUUCGGGCACGAGAUGGACCAGACGUCGUCCCGCAUGGACUCAGUCCUCAAGAAGCUGGAGAAGGUGUCCCACAUGA